UGACAUCAGAGGUGGGGCUGUCAUCCUAGUAUUAUGCAGCACUUUCUCUGAUGCUGGAAUGACACACAUGAACCAAGACGGGCUGGUUCCCUUUAAAAGCAUUUCAUUCUCACGUUGUUCCAACGGAAGGGGCAAAGGCAAAAACACUGCCCAGAAGCUGCUUCCACGACAUCAAUCCUGGGCUGACAGUCCUCAUCUUACUGGUGACAUCCAGUCCUUCUGAGAAUGCCUACGCUGGUUUCUAUCUUGACUAUGAAGCAUCUAUUCUCAUGUCUGACCCACAACUGACCCUUCAUCCUGGGGGACAAUGACCAUCCAGGGUUAUAUGAACAACCAAGUAGUUACUUGCAACAAGGGUAUCUUCGGACUUCUGUGAUAGCCUUUGAAGCAGAAAUGGCUGACAACGACAGAAGGCCCGAUUACAACGCCAUCACCUCACGACAGGCCAGUUCAGCAUGUAGCGUUAUCCCUGCCACUCUCCGCCACCACCUUGCUCUUCUAGACCAUUACAAAGAGUUAACUUGCAGAAUUUUGAAAUGGUAUUCCUAAAAAUAACUCUGCAACCAUUUAACGUUCAUAAUGUGCAAACUUCAUUGCUGGAAAUUCUUUUUAGUGCGAUGUGUUUAACAAGUACAGGUUAAUUAUCCUUUUUCCCAACAGAGAGAAAAUAAUCAUAAUCUGUGUAUUUAGAGAGAUUCUGCUAAUAAAAGAGUAAGUCUCCCAGG